UACAGAGGGGGCAAGCGUUGUUCGGAAUUACUGGGCGUAAAGGGCGCGUAGGCGGCCCGCUAAGUCGAACGUGAAAUCCCCGAGCUCAACUCGGGAACUGCGUCCGAUACUGGCGGGCUUGAAUCCGGGAGAGGGAUGCGGAAUUCCAGGUGUAGCGGUGAAAUUCGUAGAUAUCGGGAGGAACACCGGUGGCGAAGGCGGCGACCUGGGUAGAUACUGACGCUGAGGUGCGAAAGCGUGGGGAGCAAACAGG
rnacentral:rRNA from 1 species